rnacentral:rRNA from 1 species
UAGGGCUAGCCUCAAGUGAUGAUUAUUGGAGGUAGAGCACUGUUUGGACGAGGGGCCCCUCUCGGGUUACCGAAUUCAGACAAACUCCGAAUGCCAAUUAAUUUAACUUGGGAGUCAGAACAUGGGUGAUAAGGUCCGUGUUCGAAAGGGAAACAGCCCAGACCACCAGCUAAGGUCCCAAAAUAUAUGUUAAGUGGAAAAGGAUGUGGCGUUGCCCAGACAACUAGGAUGUUGGCUUAGAAGCAGCCAUCAUUUAAAGAGUGCGUAAUAGCUCACUAGUCGAGUGACACUGCGCCGAAAAUGUACCGGGGCUAAACAUAUUACCGAAGCUGUGGAUUGUCCUUUGGACAAUGGUAGGAGAGCGUUCUAAGGGCGUCGAAGCAUGAUCGCAAGGACAUGUGGAGCGCUUAGAAGUGAGAAUGCCGGUGUGAGUAGCGAAAGACGGGUGAGAAUCCCGUCCACCGAUUGACUAAGGUUUCCAGAGGAAGGCUCGUCCGCUCUGGGUUAGUCGGGUCCUAAGCUGAGGCCGACAGGCGUAGGCGAUGGAUAACAGGUUGAUAUUCCUGUACCACCUAGUAUCGUU